rnacentral:rRNA from 1 species
GACGAACCGUCCUAACGUUGUUCGGAAUCACUGGGCUUAAAGGGCGCGUAGGCGGUCGGCAAAGUCAGGGGUGAAAUCUUUCGGCUCAACCGGAAAAGUGCCUUUGAAACUAGUCGGCUCGAGCGAGGUAGGGGCAUGUGGAACUUCCGGUGGAGCGGUGAAAUGCGUUGAUAUCGGAAGGAACGCCGGUGGCGAAAGCGACAUGCUGGACCGCUUCUGACGCUGAGGCGCGAAAGCUAGGGGAGCAAACGGG